CAAAUUAUGAAGCCUGUCCUCAUCACAAAUCUCAGCUUUCAAUGGAAGGAGUGUUAAAAAAUUUGUAGGCAUCUUUAAUCAGCCAUAAGCUGCCUGUCAGAGACUUUAUUCUCACCAUACUUCCAUACUCAAAGUUAUCCCUUCAAAAUGCAGACUGAGGAGACUACCUGAAGAGCUUAAUAUGUAUCUCCUGGAGUUUAAAGAACACAACUCCCUCCUGAAGAAAAUCUAAAGGAUAUCGUGACGCCUGAAAGACCUGUUCCUCUAGCCACCGGAAGUGACGCCAGCAGACAGCGCUCAACUGUCAGUCCCCACAGAGACUGCUUUGGCUGAAGAGAGUUGGUUACUGGCUGGGGGACCCUGGAGGUACGCACAAACAUCAGCAGAGAGGAUGCUUCAAGUCUCACUGGAUUCCUUACAGCUGGGGGAGGAGUGAGCAUGAGCCAGAUGAGACCUGCACCAGGUGGAAUCAAGGAAAUUUCCAGCUAUGAGGGGGAGGGGGUCUCUGAAGAAUUUACAAAAUCAGCUAUGAAAAAAGGGUGAGCUUUAGCCAUUUGCCAAGUCCAAAGAGCACCAACAUCCAGCUCACAGCAGUGUCAAUCAAAUAAAGCCUUUCCUGCCCCCUCUCCCAGGGGUCUGAACCUGGAGAGGUUAGAAACCCGAGUUAGCAGUCGGAAGGGCUAGAACACAAGAUAGGCUAAGGGAGAAGAUGCCAACUCCACCUUUCCCUGACUUUAAAGUCUAAAACAGCUCCCCCAUCUCUUUUCAUUUUUCUUAUCACCUAAAAUCUCACCCUUCCCCCAAAUACUGUAACACUCUAUCUUUCCCAUUAUUUGGUGAGAUGCCCCACAGUUCCUCUGAUGUGUGGCCUCCAACGUCCCUUGCGGCAAAAAGUGAAAAGACCUCACCUUGUCUAAGGAUUGUCUCUGGUGGUCUCAGGCUGUAAAGCUUAAAGGUCUUGGCUGGUACUGUCCUGCUGGUCAUUCCAACUACAUGCAAACUUGGAGACACACAGUGAGAGGCACGUAGCAGACGCUCAAUACAUUUCUCAGAUUUCCCAAUUGCCUUCGUGGAGCGGGUGGGUCCCAAGCAGCAGCCGCGCAACUCGCCCCGCCCCAUUCCGCUGCCCCGCCCACCCCGUCCGGCUGC
ensembl:lncRNA